CACGCGUGCUCCCUAGAAAAGUGAUGUGCUCUCCCUGUUUGCAUUUCUGACAGUUCACUGUUAAAGGGAAGACUGUUGGCCAGGGAACCAGGAAAGAGUCAUCAGACCAGCAAAAAAAAAAAAAAAAAGUGAAGAUAGGGGUGGGGCCCAGGCCACACAUGAACCCCUCAGAGAUGACCGAAUUCAGAAGAUCCUGAGCAUAGAAAUGAUGGGUGACUUUAAGGAAACAGCAGGGAGAAUAAGAAAGGACACGUCUGAGUCGCAGAAGCAGGGAACAACAGAGAGUCAGACAGUCAACCUAGCCAGCAGGUGGGACGGGCCUCGCGUGAGAGUUCUCUAGUUACCAGUCAAGUUUUGUGUGGAGAGCAGAAGGCAGACGAAAGCAGAGACCCUCCAGCCGAAAUGGGAGGGGGGCCGGGGGCUGCUCCCCAGGCGCCCCCCGACUCCCGCGCUCCGUCAGGGCCCUGAAAGCCGGCGGACUCCUCAGGGCUGGAGGAGCGGGCUCCGCGGGAUCUCCUCACCAGUCCAGGCCAGGGCCCUGAAGGAGUCAGUGGACUCCCCAGGGCUGGAGGAGCAGGCUCCUCGGGAUCUCCUCACCAGUCCCGCGCUCCUCCAGGGCCUGGCACGGCCAGCUCCAUCCCAACGCUCCCCCUGCUCCCCUCACCCCACACAGAAACAGGGACGCGGGGCACUUUCCUGGAGUCUGCAGCUUACAGCCAGGCAUGACGAGCCGGGCUUCCUUUGCUGGUCAGCCCCGCGGGGCCAGAAGUCGGCUCUCCACUGGCUCUGACGCUGAAAGGCGUGAAGGACACGCUCACAGACGGCUGAGCUCCCUCUCCACCAGCACCAGCGCCCAGACUCCCACAUUUCCACGCACCGCAAGGCAGGUUAGCAUGACAGCCCCAAACAAGCCAGCUGAAGGGAGAAAACAAGCCUAAUGGAUCCACAGUGGUCUUCAGAACACUUCAGUUCUCAUUUCAAUAGGAAACACCCUAUCUUCUGAAAUAAGGUUCUGCAGAACACGAUGUCCCAAAGAAAACCGACAGCAGACUGCACAGCUCCCCCCAAACCCCAGGUCGCCUUGCUGAUCCCACUACCUAAGAGUCUAAGAGUCUAAGUGGCAGAUUCCAGUUCCCAUCGAUUCUAGCAGCCAGCGGCCGGUGGCUUCUCUAAAAUGUUGAGAACUGGGGGCACAGCCCCCCAUUUCUUGAGGUUCUCAGAAAACUAUUCCCCAGCAAAAAAGAAUGGGACUUGCAUACACGUCAGCAAUCCCACUCCAGGUGUAAAUCCAGAGAAAACUCGUAAUUCAAAAAGAUCCACGCACUCCAGUGUUCACAGCACCAUUAUUCAGAACAGCCAGGACAUGAAAGAAACCUAAAUGUCCUUCGACGGAUGAAUGGAUAAAGAUGAUGUGGUACACACAUACAAU
ensembl:lncRNA